UCUUCUGAUCUAAUUAAUUGACAGGAUUGAAUGUUGAACUGGUUUUUGGUGUUGACCUCAGCCUCGAUGUUGGACCUGCUCCUAGUGCCUGGUCUGUCACGUCAGCCUCCACGUUGGACCAAAAAGGGUUAAAUAAUGCUGUUAUUAACAAUCUGGUGGAUACCUCUUCUUUUUUAAAAGAUUUUAUUUUUUACAGCAGUUUUAGGUUCAUAGCAAAAUUGAGCAGAAGAGAUAUCCUAUGUCCCCACACAUUAUCACCACUUUUUACUAGAGUGAUAUUUGUUACAAUUGAUAUACUUACAUUAACACAUCAUCACCCAGAGUCCAUAGUUUAAAUUAAAUUUAUUUUUGGAGUUGUAUACCCUAUGGGGUUUGACAAAUGUAGAAUGGCAUGUAUCUACCAUUAUAGUAUCAUACAGAAUAGUUUCACUGCCCUAAAAAUCCUAUUUAUUCCCUUU